rnacentral:lncRNA from 1 species
GGGAAUUAUCACAAAUAUUCAAAAAGCUCAAAGGGAAGCAAAGCAUUCACAAGCUAUACAAGGCUCUUUAGCUACAUCAUAAUCACCUGAUAGUAGGCACAAAUAAUGCAGCGUACAGAGAACUAUAAGAGGUACAAACACUAUAAAGUUACUUGAGCUAUUCUGUUAUUUAAUGCAGCUGAUAAAAUCUAAGGACAAACUAAAACCUGUGCUGCUGCAAGCAGAACUACAGCAUCAUGAAACAAUUUCAGUUUCACCAAUAAACCGAAACCUCCUGGUCUUGCUCAAAAGAAACAUUUCAUUUCUGCUCAUGUAUAAUGGGAAUUACAUUCCACACAAAAGGGAUCUCAAAGCCUAUAAACAGUGUACCUUUUCAAUCUCUAAGGGACUUUCAUUCCUUAAAUGAAAUAUUAAUGAUAUGUAUUGCCCCUGAAUAGCCCCUUAAUACAAGUCAUAUGUUGAAAUGAUUAAAUGCAAUGGACUAGCGUAGUCUUUGCAAGAGUCCUGAUGGAAAACUUGCUAUGAUAACAAUUACUGAUAUAAGGCCCAUUUUUCUUUUCCACAGCUAGGCAAAGCCGCACCAUUCCCAUUUGCUGGCAAUCUGGGCUCUUUACGCAGAACAAACAUUCUUAAUAAACUGCCUUAAGCAGCAGUAGUCUAUAAUGGGGAGGAGAGGAAAAAAUAAAAUUCCUGGAAUUUAUUUUCUUUACAGGAAAAGCAAUUUGCAAAAAGUCGGUAAGCAUUUUGUUCAGUCUAGUGGAGUUCUUCGAGCUUUUGGAAGCUGAUCCCAAUGCACCUCAACCGUAUGCAGGUUUCUUGGGAUGAAGUAAUACAUUUCACUAAGACAUUCCCUCAUAACAGGCAAAAAUGCAAGUAACUUCACAGCUGUGAAUGUUUUCAGGAGAACAGGACAGCCCUAUGUUGGAGUAUGUGAGGGAGACUGUUCCUACUGCUGGUUUUAAAUCUGAACUCUGAAGCAGGAAUGGCAAAACAUGCGUUUCAAAAUGGAAUGAUCUAACUGCUUCAGCAAACCUACCAGAGCAAUGACUGUCUCUCCAGGUGAUACUGGAACCAAGUAUUGAAAACAGAGAAGAGAGAGACUUGAGGCUACCAACUGAACCAAACAAACAGAUCCAAUGGUGCAUUUGACUCGAUGCGUUUCCCACAUGUACCAUGUUGAAAUAGAGGAUUCAACUGCUCUCAGGAGCCAGGGAGGCUACCAGGAAAACCUAAGUGUAGUUGAUGUCAAGAAAGGGUGAGGAGUGUGCAUCUCCCACUCCCUUACAGAUGAGUCUGUUUAUCCUUGCUCUCAAUUGCAAAUGUGAACCUGCAUCGCCCUAAGUCCUGGUGGAGACUCAGGCAUCACUAAGUGCACUAAUCUCUGCAACCCUGCAGCCUGCUCUCCACUUGUAGCUCUAUCCUUUCCCCCCAAACUGCCACGGCUGUGUACCCCUGAACCUGUAGGCCAGCAUUUUCCUUGUUCUCAUGUCCUGAGCUUUCAGGCUCACUACUUGAUAGUUCCCAACAAGGGGCUCACCAAGGACAAGGGAUUCAGCUUCUUUUGCCUGCUUCUGCACACAACCAGGGACCACCAAGACAAGGUGAGAUUGAAACAGGAGGCUCUACGCAUUAGGCUCUUCAAGCAGGAUUUUCUCUAAAAGCCACUUGUAGGCAUUACUGAAUUGAACUUCAAAGCAUCAGUUAUGGUAAAAAAGGUAUUUCUCCAAAUUACAGAUGUGAAACUGAGACACACACAUUAAAAAUAACCAGCCAACCAAACCACAACCCCCUUCAAUUUCUGUGAGCAAUUUCAGAAACUAUUGAGACAAAUGUGGGCAACUUCAUAACACUGCUUGCUCAGAACAAACACCGCAUGGACUUUGCUGCAUUUGGUUCAAGCCAAAGUUAGGCUUAGUUCACAUCAUUUACAACUCUGUCACAAACAGUGGAACAGUUCCUGAGAACGAUACUCAAGUGCUUAAACCAAAGUACUCUGUCUACAUUUCCCAGCCUCACUCACCACCUCAGUCACAGUGUGCAAAUGAAUCCAACACAGUACCUUUGUUAUCUUUAAAAAUUAUGAAUUUCUGUUAGCUAUUCUGUGCUGGAAGGAAAAAAAAAAGUCUACCUACAUUAAAAAGCAUAACAUACUAUAGAUGUAUAUACGAGAGAAUUAAAGGUAACUCAAUGAUUUCCCUUCAUUUUAGAAUUUGGAUUAUCCCAAUAAGGGCAAGAACUAAUGAGUGAACCAGGCAUGCGAUCCUUUUCCUUGUCAACCAUGUGCCAACUUUUACGAGUGGAGCAAGAAUCUACCAAGAGGAAUCAGAUUCUUCCUAAUUAGCUACUCAUUUCUCUGUAUAUAGGCUCACAGCCUUUUUUUUAAGGGUACAAUUUAAGGAUUCAAUUGAUAAUGUUUUCUGGCCACCCUAUAUCACUAUUUUUCUCAACUUUCUGCCUGAUACAAAGUUCUUCCUUAAUAAAGUUGUGGGGGGGGGGUUGAAACGAGAUGAUCGUUAUGGUCCUUUUUAACCCAGGGCAUUCUAUGAUUCUAUGAAAAAAAUAUGCCUUUCUUUUGGAAUAUAAAUAUAGCCUAUGAUCAGGACAGCUGAGUUCUUCUCUACUAUUUUUUAUGUUUAUACCUAAUGAGAAAAAAAUCUAAGACAGUAAAGAUGAACUAAAAGCAGUUUAAUAGCACAGAGUAAAAGACACAUAUAUAAACUUAGCAGUAACAACCUGACAGCAGAAGUGUAAACUUAUGUUUUAUGUGCUGGUCAUUUAUGAGACUCUAAUAGUGAGAUAUUUAAUGUAAACAACAUGCAAAAAAAUUAUCUGCUCAUAUAUGCUGUUGACAGUAAUUGUUAUAUUCUGUUGCUGUUACAUAUACGUAAUUUCAAUAAACAGGCACUAUUGUUAGGCCUACUGGAUGGCAGAACAGUGAAAUCUGUAUGACGUCUCCACUUCAUGGGAGAAUUUUGUUUUUUCCCUAUUACCUAAGUGUCUGUACUUUAUUUCCAUUAUUCUCUUAUUGCAGUGUCUAACAACAAACUGUGUAUUUACAACAAAAUCAUUGAUUUUUUUUUUAUUUUUAUGUUUAUAUUUAUUUUACUUUAGUUACUUUCUGCUCUCUGUAGGAGAUUUAAAGCUUAUUCAUCUACAUUUCCCAAGUAUGUUUAAGUAAAAACAUUACUAUUUAAUGCAUGGCCAAAGCCAGUAAGGGAUCAUAUAGUCACCGUUGAAAAAAUAAUGCUAGUCUCAUGGCAGAAACAUUUUUUAUGCACAGUAGGACUGUUUUUCCAUACAAAAAUGAACAUACAUAUAUCAGUGUCCAUAACCUGUACUCACAAAUAAAAAUUACUGGCGGAAAAAAACAUCUGUAAUGUCCACAGACCAAGUAGAACCUCUUUUGCUAAAUUUUCAUUUAAUUCUGUACCAUCGAGCUACAAAUAAAAUAACUUGAAGUAUGUUUCAGAGAGAGUUAGUCUGUGUGCUUCUUCCUCACAACUUAUACUUCUUUCCAUCACCUUUUUUCAAGCUUCUCUAUUUCAGAUGUUCUUAAGACAUGUGGGAGGCACACUGCAUCCCAGCCCUCCUACACACAGAUCUACGCCUCUGUCUUUCAUUGUGUCACCCCCACUUUCCUCCUUCCCUGAUCAAGAACACAUUUUUUCUCAGUCUACUCUUGUGAAAAAUAUGGUUCCACUUGGUUCACACUUCCCCUCUUUGAAAGCAUCUAGGAGCUCCUUGGCACCUAGACCAUUCUGAUUGCCACCUGCCUUUCCCCUGAGGGCAUUAUGGUGUUGGAUGCAGAUGGCACUCUGCCACUCAGCUGGUUACAACAUGAAGUCAGAGGAAAACAAGCGCACCAGUAGAUUCAUUUGGAGAUACUCUGAAGAUGGUGGACAUAGGUACCACAAACAAAUCCAGGAAGCAGGGAGAUGAUUAGGAGUGCUUUUCCUGCCCAGGAUGAAAAUAACGAUGAUCACACACUGCAGAGCUGCACUAAGAAUUAAGUCAAGGAUGUUUCAGAUCCUCACGCUGCCCUGCCUGAGAGGAGCAGGGGGUGCACAAGAAGCUGGGAAGAGACAACUAGGACAGUUGACACAGUCUGUCCAAAGAGAUUCCAUACCAUACCAUAUGGCAUCAUGCUGAGCAAUAACACUGGGGGAGUUAGCCAGUGGGGAGGCUGGCUGGACACUGGGCAUCAUGUGAUGAGCAACUGCAUUGCACAUCAUUUGUUUUGUAUACUCUUUUAUCAUUAUUCUUAUUUUCCUUCCUGUUCUGGCCUAUUAAAUUGUCUUUAUCUCAACCCACGAGUUUCACCUUCUUUCCAAUUCUCUCCACCAUCGCACUGUGGGGGCAAUGAGCAAACAGCUGCAUGGUGCUGGGCUACCUGCAGGGUUAAACCACUACAGCAUAUUUUGAAGCCAUCAUCUUCUCAAGAUACACAGAAUGGAGCAUUUUACAAACUGUGAACUAUGCCCAAGGGCUAUUAAAAAAAAAAAAAAAAAGUGACUUCCAUGAAAAUGGAGAUAUCAUGAAGUCAAAUUAAAAGCCCAAAUGCCAACAGAAUAAUAUGAAGAUCUACCCUGUUAUGCCUACUGAAUUACUGUGUUACUCUCCCAGCACUGAAAAUCUGCUUUAUAAAGCUGGAAAGAAAAAAAAUUGGUUUGGCACUGUUUGUAUUUGGAAAUACAGCUGAAAUAUUUCUAUUUUGGGAAACUAGCUUUGAAUAUGUUGCAAGAAAAAUCUCAUCUGAACUAAUCUGAUUAAUCUAAAUAAGCCCUAGGAUGAUUAAGUUCAAGAAACUAUAACACAAAAAAUAAAAUGAAAAAGCAAUAAUAUCACAGUAUAAAACCUCAAUAAAAAUAAACACAUUCUGUCUACUCUGCUAUUAUUAACAAUAUCUAUGAUGAGUAAAAUCCCAAACAUAUUAAGAUAAUACCGAUCAGAUCUAAAAAGUUUUUCUUUUAUUUAAAACAGGCUUAAAUUUUAUAUUAUAAACUUCCCACUAAAAUGUAAUUCAAUUACAAAUCUGUUACUCAGAAAAGCUCGGUAUUUUUGGGUCCAUUAUUUGUAAUAUUUUAAUAUCCAAAAUAAACAUUGUAUUUGACAAACAAAGAAAUAUGCGCACUCCAGUUUCCUAAUGCAAAUGAAACAGGAAUUUCCAUCAGCUCUAAUUUGCUGAUGGUGUCUCAUUCAUGCUAUUUUUAACAGGUACCAGAGAAAGCCAACAUUGC